GUGAACUGUUUAUUAACUCUAUAUGGCACACUGACUGUCCUUGGAUGUUAAACAGGCUCCUUAGUCUUUGGCAGUAAUGUUGUAAAUCCCACCAAGCAUGCAAGGGUAAAACCGAGCAGCAUAGCUGCG